rnacentral:rRNA from 1 species
GACGAACGCUGGCGGCGUGCUUAACACAUGCAAGUCGAACGGAAAGGCCCUGCUUUUGUGGGGUGCUCGAGUGGCGAACGGGUGAGUAACACGUGAGUAACCUGCCCUUGACUUUGGGAUAACUUCAGGAAACUGGGGCUAAUACCGGAUAGGAGCUCCUGCUGCAUGGUGGGGGUUGGAAAGUUUCGGCGGUUGGGGAUGGACUCGCGGCUUAUCAGCUUGUUGGUGGGGUAGUGGCUUACCAAGGCUUUGACGGGUAGCCGGCCUGAGAGGGUGACCGGCCACAUGGGGACUGAGGUACGGCCCAGACUCCUACGGGAGGCAGCGGUGGGAAAUAUUACACAGUGGGCGGAAGCCUGAUGCAGCAGCGCCGCGUGCGGGAUGACGGGCUUCGGGUUAUAAACCGCUUUCGCCGGUGACGAGGCGUGAGUGACGGUAAUGAGUAAAGAAGCAACGGCUAACUACGUG